rnacentral:rRNA from 1 species
AGAAUUGCUAGCUUGCUAAUAAUUCUCUAGUGGCGCACGGGUGAGAACACGUGAGUAACCUGCCCCCGAGAGCGGGAUGGCCCUGGGAAACUGGGAUUAAUACCGCAUAGUAUCGAAAGAUUAAAGCAGCAAUGCGCUUGGGGAUGGGCUCGCGGCCUAUUAGUUAGUUGGUGAGGUAACGGCUCACCAAGGCGAUGACGGGUAGCCGGUCUGAGAGGAUGUCCGGCCACACUGGAACUGAGACACGGUCCAGACACCUACGGGUGGCAGCAGUCGAGAAUCAUUCACAAUGGGGGAAACCCUGAUGGUGCGACGCCGCGUGGGGGAAUGAAGGUCUUCGGAUUGUAAACCCCUGUCAUGUGGGAGCAAAUUAAAAAGAUAGUACCACAAGAGGAAGAGACGGCUAACUCUGUGCCAGCAGCCGCGGUAAUACAGAGGUCUCAAGCGUUGUUCGGAAUCACUGGGCGUAAAGCGUGCGUAGGCUGUUUCGUAAGUCGUGUGUGAAAGGCGCGGGCUCAACCCGCGGACGGCACAUGAUACUGCGAGACUAGAGUAAUGGAGGGGGAACCGGAAUUCUCGGUGUAGCAGUGAAAUGCGUAGAUAUCGAGAGGAACACUCGUGGCGAAGGCGGGUUCCUGGACAUUAACUGACGCUGAGGCACGAAGGCCAGGGGAGCGAAAGGGAUUAGAUACCCCUGUAGUCCUGGCAGUAAACGGUGCACGCUUGGUGUGCGGGGAAUCGACCCCCUGCGUGCUGGAGCUAACGCGUUAAGCGUGCCGCCUGGGGAGUACGGUCGCAAGAUUAAAACUCAAAGAAAUUGACGGGGACCCGCACAAGCGGUGGAGUAUGUGGCUUAAUUCGAUGCAACGCGAAGAACCUUACCUGGGCUUGACAUGUAAUGAACAACAUGUGAAAGCAUGCGACUCUUCGGAGGCGUUACACAGGUGCUGCAUGGCCG